CUUGCUUUCCGUGUGUCUAACUCCUGAGUGUGAGGUAGAAGUCCAGCCUGUGCUGCUCUAGAGGGGUUUACACAGAUGCCUUGACCUCCAUGUUGUGUUCCUGAGGGGUUGUUGACUCUCAGUGAUUCCACAGACAAACAGAUCAGCUUCCGUCCAGUUCUCUGCGGUUUACAGCAAACACGGCUACGGCAGACGCAGCAUGGAGCUAGCUGGAGUGCUCUCCAUGUCCGUGUCCAUGGCUUACAUUAUCUGUGCUGGACUGGGAGGCCGGACAGCUCAGCCAAGAGAGGUCAAGCCUCUCAUCUCGGUACUGUAAACAACGCCAGUAGUGGAGAACUCCGCUUGUAUGUGUGUGUGUGUGUUCGCCAGGAGAUAAAACCAUAACGGAAAGCUCUGUUGCCUUCAUGGAGGUCUCUGAAAGUGUCCAGGGGACUCUGAAAGGACUUUGCAGGAAACUGGGUCAUCCCCUGCGCACCACAGAAGAAGAGAAUGACAGCUCAUGCUUGGAGCCAAACUGGGUCAUCCCCUGCGCACCAAAGAAGAAGAG
ensembl:lncRNA